UACGAAGGGGGCUAGCGUUGCUCGGAAUCACUGGGCGUAAAGGGUGCGUAGGCGGUCGGGUAAGUCUGAUGUGAAAUCUCACAGCUUAACUGUGAAACUGCAUUGGAUACUAUCCGGCUCGAGGAAUGGAGGGGAGACGUGGAAUACUUGGUGUAGCAGUGAAAUGCGUAGAUAUCAAGUGGAACACCAGUGGCGAAGGCGAGUCUCUGGACAUUUCCUGACGCUGAGGCACGAAAGCCAGGGAGCAAACAGG
rnacentral:rRNA from 1 species